CUGAGACACCCCCCCCCCCCCCUUAUUUUUGAAUUUCGAAUUCAAGCUUCUUUGUGAAGCUGUUGAAACCCUCAGUUGUUAGCUAUAAAUAGAAGCCUUUACUGAGCUAUUUUUGGGGAGAUAGGUUCUAAGUGUUGGAAAUUCCCUCUUGAACAACCCCAAAAAAAAUCCCAACGGCUUUAUCAAAAAUCCUAUUUUUUACUCUAAGUUAGGGCUCUCAAAAAAAUUCUUUUUAACUCUAAGUUUGUUUUUAUCGAAUUCUCGGUGGUUCUCGGCUAAACAAGCUUUCAAGAGGAUUCGGAGACUUGACAACUAUAGUAGCCUCAGUUCAUUGUCCCGCAAAACGUUAGUAAUGGCCCUCGCUUCACCUUUUGUCUUCAGUUGUUAGGAGCGUAUGUAUAUGCAGUUAUUAAGUAAUGUUUUCAUCGUAUUGCCUAUUUGAGCUUGGUUUGCUGCUCUGUUCGGUUCUGCCCUAAAUCUGCAUAUAAAAGAUAGCUAAGAAUACAUGAAGGAACUAUCGAUUAAAUUUUAGAACAUGUGAAUGAGCUCGUCGCUCGUUUAAAUCCUGUUUCAUAUUUCUGUUAUAAUCUCUCUUGUUAUGUCUAUCAAAUCAGUAUGUAUUGUAGCCAAAUAGAGCUAAAAAUAUAGUCAUUGGAUUGUUUGUUGGUAGCUGGUUUGUCCUCUGUUUGUUUCGAAUUUGUUUGGUUUUAAAUAGUAGAUGAAGAGGGGUAAAGGAGACUAACUGCUCCUGGAAAAAUGGCAGUUCGACUUUUCCAACACUAGCAUCCUGUCAUUUUUUUUAACUCCAUCCAUUAAUCUAGAAGGACUAUUUUAUUAUAAAUCUAGCUGAAAACAGUACAUAAAGAUUUUGGCGUAAGUUGUGAGUUUUCAAAAGCCAACUUGCUGACCCUUUAGGAUAUAAACCUGCGUCUGAGUCAGUGUUUGUAUGGAUUCUGAAAUACUGCAAUAUUGAAAUAUAAAUGAGGUCACGAAGUAGUAAGAAUGCCAAGUUUGGUUUUAAAAUCUUCCUUGUGUUAGGUAUGUGUUAAUUGGUUCAUGUUAAAAAUUUUGAGUAGGUUUGUUGUGAAUUUAGUCUUCUCACUACUGCUUGUUUUAAAAUCACCACCAUAACAUUUUGGAAAGAUUUUUUAAUUUAGUAGCAUAUCUUUUAGCUGAAUCCUCACAAGUAGUGUGCGACACUUUUGAGCUUUAUGUCUAAAAAAUUUUACUUCCUAUAAUGGUCAGAUGAUCCAGUUUGGGAUUUUAUAAUAUGGAAAACAAAAAUGCUUGUUUGAAGCUUUGUCUCUGUUUUGUUUCUCGUGUAUCUUUUUUUGUAUUUUGUUUUACAAAGAUUAUCAAAGUGUAAAAAAUGGAUAAAUUAUUAUGUACUACCUGAGAUUGUCUUCUCUUUAUGCCUGGAUAACAAGGUUUCUUAGGCAUUCUAAUGACACUAAAAAAUCUGAAUAGAAUUAAAGAGAGCGACAGUUUGUAAUGGCUGUCACUUUGUUUUGAAUACCUUUGUAAAAUGAGUACAUGCUAAACAUAAUUUCCAUGCUAAAGUUCUGGUUUGUUAUUUUGCGCAUUCCUGUGGAUUUUAUGGUCUAGAAAUAAAAGCUAUAAGACUGAAAUUUUGCUUUAACAGUAGACUAUUACACAUUCUAGUUAAAUCACGAUAGUUAGUUUAUUUCAUGGGUUGGAAUUGUUAAUACAUCUCUUUUUCCUGCAUAUAAGAAGUUUCAUUUGAACUUGAUCGGUUUCUAGACUAAUAUGACAAAGGUCCGGGGUAUUAAGUGACAUAGUGCUUUGAUGCUUUGGUCUUUUAAGCCCUUUGCAUGUGUGUGGAUAUGUACUGCAGGUUCUUUCUUUUAGCAGCAAUUUACAAGAAAUCUUAAACUUGAUUGAGCCUUUUAAGGCUUGCUUAUUAAGAAGUUAUACAAGAAGGUUUUGAAAUAAGUUGAUAACUUGUUAGUUAUUAUCUCUCUUGUUUGGACUUUGAACUAAAUGCUGUAUUAUUUAAACUAAGUAAAGGACCUACCAUUAAGGUGAGAUAAUCUGUGUUGCUUCCUUUUUUUUAAAUGUUGAGUUAGAGUAAUAUUUGUUUGACUGUAUAUUUUCAUGUAUAGAGCCUUGUGAAUAUAAAGUAUGCCUCCUAGUAGUGAUGUAUAUAUCUGAAGUUUGAGCUAAUCUAGAGAUAGGUUCCUGGGAAGACCAUUUAAACAAAUUAAUAGAUCCAUUUUCUUGUUCACUUUAUUUCUUCUUGAUUGAGAAUAGUUACUAAUCCUUUUCUUCUUUUCUUUUUCAUGCAACACGUGGGAGCAUUUGGAGUUAUGGCAACUCCGGAUUCUGCCCAGAUCAGAGAAGAAACCAGUAGCAGCCUCCUUUGCUCGCGUCUAGCGUCCUUCGUUCGCGUCAAGCGUCCCUGUCUUCCUCCUUCUCUUCAAACUUUAUGUCUUUGCGUUAGCAUAUACAUAAAUGUUUAUAUUUUUGACUAACACUUUGUAUGGAUUGUAUUUGUAGAGUAUUUUUGUAUUGCUUGUGAACGAACCUGUGGAAAAAUGGCUGAGCAUAACAGCGAGUUUAGUCCUUA